UUCAGUUCUUUUCUCGUUAACCUUUCAUUUGCACUGUAACUUACUUAAAGUUCUGUCAUCGAAAUGUCAUAUUUGAAAGCUGUUUGUUUGAGUUCGUGUACUAAAAACACAGAAUCACUCUAAAUUAUUCAAAACUAAUAUUCGUGCAGAUCUUAUCGCUGGGCUUGUCGUCGUUUCGACCGAUUUUUAUUCGGAUUUCUCUGUUAUUCUUGUCCAAAGAACCGUAUUUUUUUGUGUUGUGUAGGUCAACGUUCCGAUUUUCCUUAUUUUACAAUUGAAGAUCUAAGUCUUAUUGGAUUUGUGGUCAAAAUACAAAUUGUAAGUGUAAUGAGAUAAUAGCGCACGUAAGAUUACCGAACAACAAAACAACCUGCUAUUUUCAUAAUUUCCCAAUGUAACUGAUCCAUUACAUUCACUUUAUUGUGGUUCAAUUCGAUCUACAGAAAUUUUAAGACCACUGGAUUACUUUAUGGACCAAAUAUAGGCAUUACAUCACAUCCUUCACGCGGAAAACGCAAUGCACGGGGGCUUCUAGAUUUCUAGAAUAAGCUUGCAAAAUUCAGAACAUAAAUUAUCGAGGAUAACAGUGUUUUGAAUUUGAUGCCCAUUUGAUCACAUCAGCUGUGAGAUAUGCUGGUUAGUCAUAUAAGCAAGUUCGGACUCUGUUUAUUCCUGUUAUGGUUGAUAUUUUGCUGACAUGUUCAAUCACAAACCACUUAAAGAAUACCUGGUUCUCCCCUGUUGGUUUGUUUAUGUUUUUUUUUUUUUGUUUUGUUCGAAAUGUCUAUAGUCUCUAUAGCGAGCGUUGGAACGUAAACAUGCACUUCAGUUGUGUUGCCAUUGCAUAAUUCGUGGAACAAGGCUCCAUGCUGUGCAAUUGUGUUUUGUGGAAUGAGGGAUGAGAUAAGCCAUGAUAUUUAACUACAGUAGCUUUAAAAGUUGGAAUCCUUUAUGAUGCUUUAUCCCCUUCCUAUUCAAAUCACGAAGAGAUGGGAGGUGGCGGAAAAGGUCCCCUAGACCUUUUCAAUGUUAGAUAAGAAUGACAUUAUUUACUUUUAAAAAGUAAUAUCUAAGUGGUUUCCGUGGGGACCCCUCCCUGGAGGUAGUCAGUAAUAUUAUUUAAUGCCAUGUCAGCUUCUUAGAGUGUCCGGUUGAUUAUUGUCAGGUCAAUCCAAGAAAAUUAAUGGAAAAAUUAAAUUUCUCCAAAACGGAACGAGGUCGGAUAACCUAUAUAACAUCUGCCAUGGCACUAUUUUCCUCACGAACAAAACGUUAUCAGUUUGGAAAAUGUAGAGAACCAAUAGUUUUUGUGCAGGCUCCAAACGGAAAUAUGUUGUCAGAGAAACAAGAAGUCAUAGUUACUUCAGUGCAUGUCUUCUGGUGUGGCGCACCAGCAAAAUUCAAUCAGCUUUUUUAAGCGAACGCUUCUUAUUUUAAAACUAAUGGAUUUUUUUAAUCUGAGUCACCUUAGGCCUGCGUUUUGGUCAUUUAUCGUUUUCUUUCCUUGGCACUGUUGUCUUGGUUAUCACUAGCUGCUGUAAAGUAAAGCGUUAAGAGGUACACUCUACCGUUUCGUGUUAUUUGCACAUGUUAUAUAUACGAACCAAAAGUGUAACAUUGUUAUGACUGUAAAUAGACGUUUUCCUGCGGGUUUAUAAUAGCCGCAGUUGCAACUUCAAACUUAUUUGGCGUUGCCAAAAGAGCAGGAAACAUUUUACAACAGCAGAUUUGAUCGAGAACAAUAUAAAACUUCACAUGUUCCAUUGUGGUCCAUUGUGUUUUAAUGUAUGAAUUGUCAAGCAGGUCAUAGUUGUGUUUAGAAUAUCACACCAGUUAAAAACGUUAUCAGAUCGUUAUACUAAGCCGUUGAAUUCUCAAGUGGGGUCCAGAGAAAAUGAAAUAUUUCAGACAAGUGUUCACAAAGUAAAAGCAUUUAUGUCGCAAACGUGACAAACUUCACGCAAUUUUAGGUGUUAAAAACAAGCUUAAUUUCACGUGUUAAAAACAAGUUUUAUGCCAGUAACUUCGCAGAAAGGCAUGAUGGCAUUCUACCAAUACUAGAAUGGUUAUAUUGUACCUUGAAUAUUAAAAACGUUUUAAAUCGCAUAUAAAAGCAGUUGAAUGGCAAACUUCCUGUACUUGAAACACUAACAAACAAAAACUCGUUUGGUCAUGUAAUCUACUGGAAAGUCGCUCGCUGAUUGGUUCUUUCACAGCGUUAGAUGACGUCCUUUCCGAGGCCCAUCAAGUUUGGUAAGGGUUGUCGCACAAACCUCUCAUUUGCAUAACUCUCCUUUGUCAGCAUGCAUCUAGUGAAAGUUUUCAAUUAACCCGCUGUCUUUCACGACUUGACCUAAGCGAAGAAGAUCGACUUCGAAUUUCUACUGUAAAUCUGGAAGCUCAAUCGCUACUUCCGUAGAAAGAGAUUGUCUUCCAGAUCCAUCAAGGCAAGGACGUAACGCUUCUGCCAUCUUUGGGGCCAGCCCAAGUUUCGGACUAUAUCCGGCAGA
rnacentral:misc_RNA from 1 species